UCAGGAACGACCCCCACCCCCUCGAAACUUAAUCUCCUUUACCCUAACCAGCCGCUGAACCCUAUCAGACUUUAUUUCCUUCAGCACAAAACAACGACCACCCUUCAGCUUCCACCCACCACAACGCCGACCACCCCUCCUAGCCGUCCCUUCUAACCUCAUCUCCUAACCCCUUUACCAUUCGACCCAAACUUCCCGAACCUCACGCCUCUCAUUCUUCUAAGCCGCCGGACCUCCACUCCAAACUCCUACCUCCUCUCAAAGACUAGAAACAGCCCCACGCCACCAGACUUCCGCCAAAAUCCCUGAAAGAAAAGGAAAACGAGAAACAGGGGAGGGGCAAGUCACACACACACGAGAAACAAGCUGAAAAACGAGGAAAAGGGGGGGUUCGGACAGAAAUUUCGGAGAAAAAUGGAGAGAAAGAGCUAGGGUUUUUGGAUUUUCAGUUGUUCUUCUAAUUUUUCAUUCAUUCAAAAAUUUAGAGUUCUCUUUUAGUUUUCUUUUGGGUUCCUAAAAAAGAAAAUCAAAGAACUGUUUGCCGCUGUUGUUUUGUUCGAAAUUCCAGUGCUGAUUCGAGUUUUCAUCCGAGGUUCGAGGUUCCGAUUUGUCUUGCGGUUCCUGCUUGACUUCCCCGCUAUUGUUUUGUUUUGAGUUUUGAAGAUGAGAUCUGCAUCAGUUUGCCUAUUUUUUUAACUCCAGGUUCAUCCUUUCCCUUUUCUAUCUUGUUCACUAUUAUUUAUGAUGAAUAUUAAGCAUUGGAAGAAUUAUUUUAAGAUCCGUUGAGGUUUGGUUGAUUCAUAUUGAUUUGGUUUAUGGCUUUUAGUUAUUGUCUUCCCUAAAUUUCCUUUAGUGAAUUAUCUGUGAUGGAGUUUGGAUGAAUUCAAAAAUGUGUUAAACCCUCUAUCUGUUAUUUUGCUAUUUAAUUUCGAACUUGAGUGUAUAAUUUUAGCAAUCUUAUAAGAUCUUGUAAAGAUUUGGUUUCCUGUUUGUGAGACCUUGCAAAAUACUAGUGUAAAUGGAUUUGUUAAUUAAUGUUAGCUUCAGCUGAUACAGGGCGGUAGGUGGUUAACAGGUCCUUAAAAUGAAGCUUUAGCUACAUGAUUUGCGUGCAAGUGCUUUGGUAGAUCUUGUGACCAUUAGACUGCCCCUUUGUCCUAAUUGCAUUUAUUGUCGGUUUUUACAUUAAGAGAUUCUCCUAAUUGAAGGAAAGUUCCAUAAGCCCAAUAAGGAUCCAACUCUAUGGCUUGUGCUUCAUCCUUCUGCACUUUCUUCUUCUGUUUACUUCUUGUCAUUCUUAUUAGUUGCAGAAAUGAAUUACAAAAGAAAGUGUUUUGAAUAGUUAAGCUC
rnacentral:lncRNA from 1 species